UACGGGGGGGGCAAGCGUUGUUCGGAAUUACUGGGCGUAAAGGGCUCGUAGGCGGCCAACUAAGUCAGACGUGAAAUCCCUCGGCUUAACCGGGGAACUGCGUCUGAUACUGGAUGGCUUGAGGUUGGGAGAGGGAUGCGGAAUUCCAGGUGUAGCGGUGAAAUGCGUAGAUAUCUGGAGGAACACCGGUGGCGAAGGCGGCAUCCUGGACCAAUUCUGACGCUGAGGAGCGAAAGCCAGGGGAGCAAAAGGG
rnacentral:rRNA from 1 species